UCCGGUUUCGCACCGGCAGUCUUCCUAGAGUCCCCGGCAUUAUCCGCUGGUAACUAGGAACGGGGGUUGCGCUCGUUGCGGGACUUAACCCAACAUCUCACGACACGAGCUGACGACAACCAUGCACCACCUGUUUACGAGUGUCCAAAGAGUUGACUAUUUCUAGCCCGUUCUCGUAUAUGUCAAGCCUUGGUAAGGUUCUUCGCGUUGCAUCGAAUUAAUCCGCAUGCUCCGCCGCUUGUGCGGGUCCCCGUCAAUUCCUUUGAGUUUUAGCCUUGCGGCCGUACUCCCCAGGCGGAAUGCUUAAUGCGUUAGCUGCGCCACCGACGGGCAAGCCCGCCAACGGCUGGCAUUCAUCGUUUACGGCGUGGACUAC
rnacentral:misc_RNA from 1 species